rfam:Termitomyces sp. J132 unplaced genomic scaffold scaffold92, whole genome shotgun sequence.
GGCCGCCUGGCGAAAUGGCAUCGCGUCUGACUACGAUACAAAGUGGUUCAUACGGUUGUAAUCAGGAGAUUGCAGGUUCGACCCCUGCGGUGGUCA